GGAUCCAGGGAUGGUAAUGGGGGUCCUGUCACGGACUGUGGAACUCUGAGGACCCAGGAGAGGACUGAGGGUGUAAGGGAGGUGUGAGGAAGAAAACAAGGGGGUUCAGUGGGAGCUCAGAGGGGGAUGUGUGCUGCUGCUGGGGACUGCAGAAGCCUGUGAUGGCCCAGCUUCUCUGUGGGGGAAAUGUGCUGAGUCUGAGAAGGUCCUUGAGGAGCUAUAGGGCUCUCUGGGGGUGUGUUUGGUGGAUAUAGGGACAUUAAGGGAUGUGGGAACACAGGCUGCAGGAGCAGAAUGCUGUUCAGGAGAAAACAAGACGUGGGCUGCAGGUGGGACACAGGGGAAUGGGGUAGUAUGGGGACAUAGAGAGUAUGGGAGGAUGUGGGGAGCGGUUUGAGGUAAAAAGAGGGGGGG
ensembl:lncRNA